GGGGGUGUCAGCUCAGGUGUCAUCCACAUCACAGUUGGUUAAAGCGCCUGUCUAGUAAACAGGAGAUCACGAGUUCGAAUCUCGUCGGUGCCU